rnacentral:rRNA from 1 species
CCCUUAGAUGUUCUGGGCUGCACGCGCGCUACACUGAUGCGCUCAACGAGUUUUAACCUUGCCUGGAAAGGUUGGGUAAUCUUUUUAAAACGCAUCGUGAUGGGGAUAGAUUAUUGCAAUUAUUAAUCUUCAACGAGGAAUUCCUAGUAAACGCAAGUCAUCAGCUUGCAUUGAAUACGUCCCUGCCCUUUGUACACACCGCCCGUCGCACCUACCGAUUGAAUGGUCCGGUGAAAUCUUCGGACUCUGUGUUUAUUGAUUCGUUUCAAUUUACUACUGGAGAAAGUUGAGUAAACCUUACCAUUUAGAGGAAGGUGAAGUCGUAACA